GUGACUGGUGGCAGCAGAGAGGCAGUCUGACAAUGUGGUGUCUGACAUGGAAGUAUGGAUGAAGAAAGGUGUGUCACUGAAUUCCUUCAUGUGGAAAAAAAAUGGCAUGCAUUGACAUCCAUCCAUGUCUGGUGGAUGUUUAUGGAGACCAAACAGUGAUGUGAGCACCAUGAGGUGGUGCAUUGUAGCAGUGACAACAGCGAUAUGAAAUGUAAACCAUGUUCCCAAUGGACAAAUUUAUGAGUGAGGCAUGCAGGCUCUUGUUCAUCACUGGUGAAAGCGCCUAGCUGAUGACGGUGACUAUGCUGAAAAAUAGUGUUUGUAGCUGGGAAUUUGCUCUGUCAAAUAGCAUUAUUGUGAUCUUCAUCACUAUUGUAGUUUCCAUGAAAAUAAAUAGGAAGCAUUACUUUCAGAGCAAUCUACAUAGAAUAGGAACACCUACUUCCUACCUUUAAUUCUGUUCAUUUUCCAUCCUCUUAUGGAGCAGGUCACUUUAGCCAGUGGUGCAAAUUUGCCGAGCUGGUUGGACUUCAAUCCCAACACAAACAUGCUGCAGGGACUGCCAAUGACUGGGGAGAGCGGAGCGUACCUGCUAAGCAUAACUGCCUCUGGAAGAAUGUGCGCCCAGAGAGCUGCUGUAAAGUUCACCAUCCAUGUUCAAGACAGCAUUUUAUUCCCGGACACAGAGAACAGCUUGAACCACAUACCAAACAGGCACCAGUGUGGGAAGGAAGUUCCCAUCACUUCUGCUGAAAUCAUUCUCUCCACUGGAGCCAAAACCCUGGAAGCACAGGAAUGCCUCUACAUCGUGUACACAAUUGCUGAAUAUCUCCAUCUGGAUUCCUCCCUAGUAACCCUGUUGCAGUACACAGACGUGGUGCACAGAAACUUGCAGAACCUGACUGUGCUGACCAGAGACACUUCGCACAUUGAUUUCACAGUGAACCGUUAUGUAGGACUCUCCUGGCCUGUCAAGUGUGGUGAGCUUGCUGUGCUCCACGAAUUUGUUCAAGUCCUACAACGCAAUAUUGACUCACAGCAUCUCUCACAACUCCUAGGACAUGAAAUUUCAGGCUGGAGAAUACUUAGGAGAG
rnacentral:lncRNA from 1 species